UUUCUCUGCUUCCUGCUUUCAAUUCAAGAUGUGAUCGCUGCCAGGCAGUGGUGGCGCACGCCCAGCACUCACGAAGCAGAGGCAGGCGGAUCUCUGUGAGCUCAAGGCCAGCCUGGUCUACUGAGUUAAAGGUCAUCUGCCUUACAAGACACACAGGAGACUCACAUGAAUGACAUAUGUGGAGCCCACAAAGCCUGACACCGACAGGAGGGAGGAGAGAGACCUAUCUAUCUACAUAUCCACCAGCUAUUAGUUCUGUUUCUCUGCAAGCCUGACCAAUGCUGGUGGCUGCGUCUAUUCAGAAGUCAAAUAACAUCCAGAAGAAUGCCCAGUGAGUAUGGAAUAAAAGCUUCAAUAACGUGGACGCUUGAGGACCAGGAAGCAAAGAGAGCGUCAAGAAAAAGCUCUCUCAA